rnacentral:SRP_RNA from 1 species
GCCAGGCACGGUGGCACAUGCCUGUAGUUCCAGCUACUCCGGAGGCUGAGGUGGGAGGACUGCUUGAGCCCAGGAGUUCUCGGCUGUAGUGAGCUAUGCUGAUCAGGUGUCUGCACUAAGUUCAGCAUCAAUAUGGUGAUGUCCCAGAAGUGGGGCACCACCAGGUUGCCUAAGGAGGGGUGAACCAGUCAGAAACAGAGCAGGUCAAAACCCCCUUGCUGAUCAGUAGUGGGAUCAUGCCUGCGAAUAGCCACUGUAUUCCAGCCUGGGCAACAAGCGAGACCCUCUCUCU